ACAUGCUUACAACAUAGCAUUAAUGCACUAGAUCCCAUUAGAACUCCGCAAUUAAGCAUGCUCGGGCUAGAGUAGUACUGGGAUGGGUGACUACCUGGAAAGUCCUAGUAUUUCACAUGCC
rfam:Picea glauca, whole genome shotgun sequence.